rnacentral:rRNA from 1 species
UACGAAGGGUGCAAACGUUGCUCGGAAUUAUUGGGCGUAAAGCGCACGUAGGCGGCUUAGCAAGUCGGAUGUGAAAGCCCUCGGCUCAACCAAGGAAGUGCAUCCGAAACUGCUGAGCUUGAGUACUUAAGAGGAUCGCGGAAUUCCCGGUGUAGAGGUGAAAUUCGUAGAUAUCUGGAGGAAUACCGGUGGCGAAGGCGGCAUCCUGGACCGGCAUUGACGCCUGAGGAGCGAAAGCUA